rnacentral:rRNA from 1 species
ACAUCCAGAGAACUUAGCAGAGAUGCUUUGGUGCCUUCGGGAACUCUGAGACAGGUGCUGCAUGGCUGUCGUCAGCUCGUGUUGUGAAAUGGUUGGGUUAAGUCCCGNAACGAGCGCAACCCUUAUCCUUUGUUGCCAGCGGUUCGGCCGGGAACUCAAAGGAGACUGCCGGUGAUAAACCGGAGGAAGGUGGGGAUGACGUCAAGUCAUCAUGGCCCUUACGGCCAGGGCUACACACGUGCUACAAUGGCGCAUACAAAGAGAAGCGACCUCGCGAGAGCAAGCGGACCUCAUAAAGUGCGUCGUAGUCCGGAUUGGAGUCUGCAACUCGACUCCAUGAAGUCGGAAUCGCUAGUAAUCGUAGAUCAGAAUGCUACGGUGAAUACGUUCCCGGGCCUUGUACACACCGCCCGUCACACCAUGGGAGUGGGUUGCAAAAGAAGUAGGUAGCUUAACCUUCGGGAGGGCGCUUACCACUUUGUGAUUCAUGACUGGGGUGAAGUCGUAACAAGGUAAGCGUAGCGAG